rnacentral:rRNA from 1 species
AUUAGUUAGUUGGUGAGGUAACGGCUCACCAAGACUACGAUGUCUAGGGGUUCUGAGAGGAUGAUCCCCCACACUGGUACUGAGACACGGACCAGACUCCUACGGGAGGCAGCAGUGAGGAAUAUUGGUCAAUGGGCGCAAGCCUGAACCAGCCAUCCCGCGUGCAGGAUGACGGCCCUAUGGGUUGUAAACUGCUUUUAUACACCAAGAAACUUUCGGACGUGUCCGGAACUGACGGUAGUGUAUGAAUAAGCAUCGGCUAACUCCGUGCCAGCAGCCGCGGUAAUACGGAGGAUGCGAGCGUUAUCCGGAUUCAUUGGGUUUAAAGGGUGCGUAGGCGGCUUUUUAAGUCAGUGGUGUAAUCCUGCCGCUUAACGGUAGAAUUGCCAUUGAUACUGAAGAGCUUGAGUACAAUUGAGGUAAGCGGAAAUGUGUAGUGUAGCGGUGAAAUGCUUAGAUAUUACACAGAACACCGAUUGCGAAGGCAGCUUACUAAACUGUCACUGACGCUGAUGCACGAAAGCGUGGGGAGCGAACAGGAUUAGAUACCCUGGUAGUCCACGCCGUAAAC